UACGUAGGGUGCUAGCGUUGUCCGGAUUUAUUGGGCGUAAAGGGCUCGUCGGCGGCGUGUCGCGUCGGGAGUGAAAGCCCGCUGCUUAACGGCGGGUUGGCUUCCGGUACGGGCAUCGCUGGAGUGCGGCAGGGGAGACUGGAAUUCCGGGUGGAGUGGUGAAAUGCGUAGAGAUCCGGAGGAACACCAAAGGCGAAGGCAGUGUCCUGGGGAGUACCUGACGCUCAGGUGCGAAAGCCAGGGGAGCGAACGGG
rnacentral:rRNA from 1 species